AUUGAACGCUGGCGGCAGGCUUAACACAUGCAAGUCGAGCGGAGAUGAGGUGCUUGCACCUUAUCUUAGCGGCGGACGGGUGAGUAAUGCGUAGGAAGCUACCCGAUAGAGGGGGAUACCAGUUGGAAACGACUGUUAAUACCGCAUAAUGUCUACGGACCAAAGUGUGGGACCUUCGGGCCACAUGCUAUCGGAUGCGCCUACGUGGGAUUAGCUAGUUGGUGAGGUAAUGGCUCACCAAGGCGACGAUCCCUAGCUGGUUUGCGAGGAUGAGCAGCGAGACGGGAACUGAGACACGGUCCAGACUCCUACGGGAGGCAGCAGUGGGGAAUAUUGGACAAUGGGCGCAAGCCUGAUCCAGCCAUGCCGCGUGUGUGAAGAAGGCCUUCGGGUUGUAAAGCACUUUCAGUAGGGAGGAAGCGUUGUGUGUUAAUAGUACACAGCGUUGACGUUACCUACAGAAGAAGCACCGGCUAACUCUGUGCCAGCCGCCGCCGUAAUAC
rnacentral:rRNA from 1 species